AUUUCAAUAAGCGGAGGAAAAGAAACUAACAAGGAUUCCCUCAGUAACGGCGAGUGAAGCGGGAUCAGCUCAAAUUUAAAAUCUAGCACCUUUGGUGUUCGAGUUGUAAGCUAAAGAAGCGUUUUCCAUUGAGCAUCAGGGCAAAAGUCUUCUGGAAAGGAGCAUCAUAGAGGGUGAGAAUCCCGUCUUUGGUCUUGAUUUGGGCUCAUGUUGUGUAACGUUUUCGACGAGUCAGGUUGUUUGGGAAUGCAGCCUAAAAUGGGUGGUAAAUUUCAUCUAAAGCUAAAUAUUGGCGAGAGACCGAUAGCGCACAAGUA
rnacentral:rRNA from 1 species